rnacentral:rRNA from 1 species
UAGGGAAUCUUCGGCAAUGGGGGCAACCCUGACCGAGCAACGCCGCGUGAGUGAAGAAGGUUUUCGGAUCGUAAAGCUCUGUUGUAAGAGAAGAACGAGUGUGAGAGUGGAAAGUUCACACUGUGACGGUAACUUACCAGAAAGGGACGGCUAACUACGUGCCAGCAGCCGCGGUAAUACGUAGGUCCCGAGCGUUAUCCGGAUUUAUUGGGCGUAAAGCGAGCGCAGGCGGUUAGAUAAGUCUGAAGUUAAAGGCUGUGGCUUAACCAUAGUACGCUUUGGAAACUGUUUAACUUGAGUGCAGAAGGGGAGAGUGGAAUUCCAUGUGUAGCGGUGAAAUGCGUAGAUAUAUGGAGGAACACCGGUGGCGAAAGCGGCUCUCUGGUCUGUAACUGACGCUGAGGCUCGAAAGCGUGGGGAGCAAACAGGAUUAGAUACCCUGGUAGUCCACGCCGUAAACGAUGAGUGCUAGGUGUUGGGUCCUUUCCGGGACUCAGUGCCGCAGCUAACGCAUUAAGCACUCCGCCUGGGGAGUACGACCGCAAGGNUG